AGAGUUUGAUCCUGGCUCAGGACGAACGCUGGCGGCAUGCCUAAUACAUGCAAGUCGAGCGGAGUUCUGUUGAAAGCUUGCUUUCAACAGGAUUUAGCGGCGGACGGGUGAGUAACACGUAGGCAACCUGCCCCUUAGCCUGGGAUAACUACCGGAAACGGUAGCUAAUACCGGAUAAUUCCUUCCCCCUCCUGGGGAGAGGAUGAAAGACGGAGCAAUCUGUCGCUGAGGGAUGGGCCUGCGGCGCAUUAGCUAGUUGGUGGGGUAACGGCUCACCAAGGCGACGAUGCGUAGCCGACCUGAGAGGGUGAACGGCCACACUGGGACUGAAACACGGCCCAGACUCCUACGGGAGGCAGCAGUAGGGAAUCUUCCGCAAUGGGCGCAAGCCUGACGGAGCAAUGCCGCGUGAGUGAUGAAGGUUUUCGGAUCGUAAAGCUCUGUUGCCAGGGAAGAACGUCUUAUAGAGUAACUGCUAUAAGAGUGACGGUACCUGAGAAGAAAGCCCCGGCUAACUACGUGCCAGCAGCCGCGGUAAUACGUAGGGGGCAAGCGUUGUCCGGAAUUAUUGGGCGUAAAGCGCGCGCAGGCGGCUAUUUAAGUCUGGUGUUUAAACCUUGGGCUCAACCUGAGGUCGCACUGGAAACUGGGUGGCUUGAGUACAGAAGAGGAAAGUGGAAUUCCACGUGUAGCGGUGAAAUGCGUAGAUAUGUGGAGGAACACCAGUGGCGAAGGCGACUUUCUGGGCUGUAACUGACGCUGAGGCGCGAAAGCGUGGGGAGCAAACAGGAUUAGAUACCCUGGUAGUCCACGCCGUAAACGAUGAGUGCUAGGUGUUAGGGUUUUCGAUACCCUUGGUGCCGAAGUUAACACAGUAAGCACUCCGCCUGGGGAGUACGGUCGCAAGACUGAAACUCAAAGGAAUUGACGGGGACCCGCACAAGCAGUGGAGUAUGUGGUUUAAUUCGAAGCAACGCGAAGAACCUUACCAGGUCUUGACAUCCCUCUGAAUCUGCUAGAGAUAGCAGCGGCCUUCGGGGCAGAGGAGACAGGUGGUGCAUGGUUGUCGUCAGCUCGUGUCGUGAGAUGUUGGGUUAAGUCCCGCAACGAGCGCAACCCUUAUGUUUAGUUGCCAGCACAUUAUGGUGGGCACUCUAGACAGACUGCCGGUGACAAACCGGAGGAAGGUGGGGAUGACGUCAAAUCAUCAUGCCCCUUAUGACCUGGGCUACACACGUACGG
rnacentral:rRNA from 1 species